AUCCUGGUGCACGGGCUUUGCGCAAUUCAGUGAAGGUUUUGCCUGAGAAAAUGUUAUUGUUAGUUGAAAACUAUAACAUGACCACUCCUAGUUGGUCAAGGCUGGCUAGGGGAUCUUUGGAACUCUCCCUUUUCUUGA
rnacentral:snRNA from 1 species